rnacentral:tRNA from 1 species
UCCGGGGCGGUCGCGGCUGGUCGCGGCGCCAGGCUCUGGACCUGGAGGCGCUGGUUCGAUUCCAGCCCCCGGAA